UUUCUGUAGCCUAUAUCUUGUUGUUAUAAAUAAAUAGGGCCUACAGUUUAUGCAACAUAAUUUGUCCCACAGAGGUAAAACAGACAGUCGGUUAACUAAAUGCACUUCAUAUAUCGUUCACGGCAAUAAGAAAACCUCAGCUGGCUACAUUAAAAAAAACUUCGUGGCAGUUCCAAAUUUGCGAACACAUUCCGAUAGUGAAAGUUUUGUUGAACUUUCCACGUCAGCAAGGUAAAUUAGAUUUGGAUAGUUUACGAUAUUUUUUUUUCAACUGAAAAUGCCAGCGCUGUCUAUUUAUUUUGAGUUUCAUUCAAUACUUCAAAGGCCUUGAGGUAGGCCGAUAAUCUCCUUCAACGUCGUAAUUAUGGUCGAGACUUGUGUGCAGCGUGUCGUGCCCCCACAGACAGCAACAUACCACGCGCAGGAAGGGAAAAAUAUCGAAAACGCGCAUUACCUCGGGUUCUUUUGAGCGAGAAGAUAAGGGAAGACCAAUGAUUGGAUGGAAUGUAAUAACUGAAUAUAACUGAAGAUAAUGCCAGAGGGGCCUUUAACUGACUACAAGAGGAAGCCUUCAAUCUUUGGCCCCAAAUGUCCGGUGAGGAAGACAACCAUUGUCACAAAAUGGACCAAAGGACAUGACCUUACAAGUGCCCUCCAGGGUCUGUGUACGUUUUGUUAUUUUGAUUUCCGAGUGAAAAUGGAGAGUGAAAAACAACAUCAAGUUAUUUUCUCACAAUGUAAAUUAUUGUGUGGAUUAUAAUUAACUGACAGUGUUGUAAGGGUUGAUGCCUUUUUUGUUAGGGCAAAUCAAGUCUGACAUUUUAAUGUAGAAAUUACAAACUUUAGAAGCCUUUUUUAAACCUUGAAUACAUUGCAAGUUUGCAUUUUCUGCUGUGCAGGACAUUUCCUGCAACAACAGGCUGAUCAAAUUAAGAUCCUACACCUGUAUACAUUUAUAGAUGUAGGCCAAUUGUCGUAGCAAAAGCCGCGUUCACAAUUGAAGAGAAUAGCACCCGUCUGCCUUUCAGUCAGCAGGAAAGGAUGUUGAUGAGCUAUAAACCAUAUCAAUAAAAAGGCUUAUUUUAA